rnacentral:rRNA from 1 species
UAGCGUAUGUUAAAGUUGUUGCGGCUAAAAAGCUCGUAGUUGGAUUUCUGUUGAGGACGGCUGGUCCGCUCUAUGAGCGUGCAUCUAGUUUGGCCUCGGCAUCCGCUCUGCAUACGUUCUGCGCUUGAUUGCGUGGUUCGGAGGUAGGGCCUUUUACUUUGAGGAAAUUAGAGUGUUCACGGCAGGCAAUCGCCUUGAAUAUAUUAGCAUGGAAUAAUAACAUAGGAUCUUGGUUCUAUUUUGUUGGUUUCUAGAGCUGAGAUAAUGAUUAAUAGGGACAAUUGGGGGCAUUCGUAUUGCGGUGUC